GGUCAUCUUAGAUUUCUCGUACACCAUUUGCACUUGGAAACCAAAUCAACAGAUAAUAAGUGGAAACAAUAACAUGCAAGGUGUUUAGGCUAGAUUGUCCUAGUAUUACAUUAUAGGCCAAAGUGACCUUGAUGACUAAGAAAUCAAGCAUCAAAGAAGUCUAGCACGGUGCUUGUCUAGUAGUAAUAGGAAAGGAGAUGAUACCUUCCAUGG
rnacentral:lncRNA from 1 species